GGUCGACAGGGGAUGGUUACUCCUCCUAGGCACCUGAUCCCGCCUCCGGUAUAUAUUACUUAUCCUCUUAGUCCCCGGUGGGACAUAAGGCUUCAACAAGUUGUCUCCAUCUAGCUCUGUCCUUGGCAAUAUACUGUGCUUGUCCCCAUGAGUAACCCAUUUCCUCAAGUUCUGAUGUUACGGUUCUCCUCCAGGUGGUACGUGGUCUGCCUCUUUUCCUCUUUCCAGGUGGUGUCCAGUGUAGAGCUACUUUGGGAAUCCUGUUCUGGGGCAUUCUCAUUACGUGACCAAGCCAUCUCAUUCUUAUUUGUUUUAUCUCUGUGCUGAUGUUCUUGCUUUUGCACUUUUGGUGUAGGUUUUUAUUACUGAUUUUGUUUGGCCAAAAGAUUCUGUUUAUUUUUCUAAGGCAGCUGUUGUGGAAGGCCUCAACUUUUUUCAUAUCAGUUUCUAUAACACGCCAGCAUUAAGACCCAUACAGGAGGACUGAUUUCACAUUGCUGUUAUAAAGUUGGACUUUGGUCCUCAGACUGUAGCUGUUUGAUUUCCAGAAUGUUUGGAGUUGGGUGAAUGCUGCACGUGCUUUGUUGAGUCUUGCCUUUAUGUCUUUCCCGGCACCGUUGUCCUUGCUAAGUAUGCUUCCUAGGUAGGUGAAAUCCUACCUCCUCCAGCGGUUCUCCAUUUAAAACCACAGGUUCCACUGGAGCAUUUAUUAUCAUCACCUUGGUCUUUUUGGCGUUGAUGUUAAGACCAGUUUGUUUGGCAAAUUUGUUCAGCUGAUCUGUUUUUUCUUGUAGAUGGGUCUUGUUCCCUGAGAUCUCUGCAAGGUCGUCUGCAAAGUAUAAGUCCUCUAGGUUGCUGAACAUAGUCCACUGGAUACCUCUCUUCUUAUCUGCUGUGCUGUUUCUUUGGAUCCAAUCAAUGACUAUUAAGAAGAGGAUAUGUGACAAUAUACAUCCUUGUCUAACUCCAGAUUUGACACUAAAGGACUCAGAGAUGUUCUUUUCUAAUAUGACACUGCAUUCAAAGUUUUCGUAGAAUGCUCGCAUAAGGUUACAGAUCUUCAAUGGGAUUCCAUAUGAUCUAACUAUUUUCCACAAUGUAUCCCUAUGCACACUGUCAAAUGCCUUCUUAAAGUCAAUAUAGUUGAUGUAUAGUGGCAUUUUCCAUUCAAGACAUUGUUCGAUAAUAUUACGAAUGGCAAAAAUCUGGUCUAUGCAGCCUCUUCCUCUUCUGAACCCAGCUUGUUCUUCUCUCAAUUUAUCAUCAAUAGCUUCAUCUAUUCUGCUGAGAAGUAUUUUGCAGAAUACCUUACUGGGGAAUGAGAGCAAUGUUAUUCCUCUCCAGUUAUCACAUAUUUGUCUGGUAUAUAUACACCUGUAAAAUAAAGGUAAUUUUAGCGUAAAGUCAUCUGAAUUGAUGACAAUAAGAGCGGAGUAAAGUUACAUCCGUGGUGUGAUUUGGUCGCGACCAGCGAUGAAAAAACUGUGGCGUUGGCCUAGCCUACCUGAAUUUGAAAACGCAAGAAUUGUUGAACACAGAUUUCGACAGAAAUUCAAAGGAUCUUAGAGAAUUGAUAGAGAAUAUGAUGGGUCAAGUUAACGUCAGGCUUAUAGUCCGGUUUUGGAAGGAAACAACAGCAUGUUCAUCGUUUGGACUCGUGGUUGUAGCCAUGGAGGAGUAAGACAGAUCAGAUCUAGACGAAGUACAGGAUUUUAAUGAAGACUCGCACCGGUACCCUGACAUGAACAUUUUUCGAGCCUCGAAACCAGCCCCGCUCAUGAUGACGCCCAGUCAUAGCCUUGAAGACAGUUGCCAUGAAACAACAGGUUAAUUUAUCAUCAUCAAGUAUAUAGGCUUAUAACUGUACCUCCAUUUUUUCGAUUCCAAUAUCAUAGUUAUUUUAUGAAUUCGCCAUGUUGCAGAAGUUGCAGUUUAGGCAUAGUUGCAGACGGUAUUUAAAACUGUUUAAAAUGAAACAACAGAACGGUAUGUUUAAUAUUUCUGUUUUAUGAAUUGAUGAAAUUCUUAUCUGUUUACAAAAUAAACUCUGUAUAAAUAUC